UACAGAGGGUGCGAGCGUUAAUCGGAUUUACUGGGCGUAAAGCGUGCGUAGGCGGCUUUUUAAGUCGGAUGUGAAAUCCCCGAGCUUAACUUGGGAAUAGCAUUUGAAACUGCAUUGCUUGAGGUUGGAAGAGGAGAACGGAAUUCCCAGUGUAGAGGUGAAAUUCGUAGAUAUUGGGAAGAACACCAGUGGCGAAGGCGGUUCUCUGGCCUAUAACUGACGCUGAGGCGCGAAAGCGUGGGGAGCAAACAGG
rnacentral:misc_RNA from 1 species